UACGUAGGGUGCAAGCGUUGUCCGGAAUUAUUGGGCGUAAAGAGCUCGUAGGCGGUUUGUCGCGUCUGCUGUGAAAACUCGGGGCUUAACCCCGGGCCUGCAGUGGGUACGGGCAGACUAGAGUGCGGUAGGGGAGACUGGAAUUCCUGGUGUAGCGGUGAAAUACGCAGAUAUCAGGAGGAACACCGGUGGCGAAGGCGGGUCUCUGGGCCGUAACUGACGCUGAGGAGCGAAAGCGUGGGGAGCGAACAGG
rnacentral:rRNA from 1 species